rnacentral:sRNA from 1 species
GGGGUGAAUGUUCCUGAAAUUCCUUGUAUCCCAAUGCUAAGGCACCUUUAUAUGAAGUGGGUAAGACUUACUAAACCACAGCCAUUUAAAGACUUCCUUUGUAUCAGCUUAAGAACUUUCGUCAUGAGGAACUGUGCAGGACCCACAAAUUCCUUGAAAUAUGUCCCUUUAGUAACAGGCUUAGCCUCUGCCCGAAACUUGGAACACUUAGAAAUGGUUCGAGUUCCUUUCCUUGGAGGUCUUAUCCAACAUGUUGUUGAAGACAGUUGGAGAUCAGGUGGUUUUAGAAAUUUGCACACUAUUGUUCUGGGAGCUUGCAAAAAUGCUCUUGAAGUAGAUCUUGGUUACCUCAUCAUUACUGCUGCCCGUAGGUUACAUGAAGUUCGGAUCCAGCCUUCCCUAACCAAAGAUGGUGUCUUUUCUGCCCUAAAGAUGGCAGAGUUGGAGUUCCCCCAGUUUGAAACCCUUCAUCUAGGAUAUGUAGAUGAGUUUUUGCUACAGAGUAAGAUUAUCCCAUUUUAAUUCCUAGAAUGACUGUAAGAAAUUUACUUGACAAACUGAAAUCUGAAUUGGGUUGUGCCAUGUCUUUUUGAACAUAAGACAA